rnacentral:rRNA from 1 species
AGGACGAACGCUUGCGACGUGCCUAAGAAAUGCAAGUCGAACGGACCAGCAGCAAUGCUGGUUAGUGGCGAACGGUCGCGUAACACGUGGGCAACCUGCCCUGAAGCGGGGGACAACAACUCGAAAGAGUUGCUAAUACCGCAUGUGUAUCGCUGUGGCAUCACAGAGGAUACAAAGCCGCAAGGCACUUCAGGAUGGGCCCGCGGCCUAUCAGCUAGUUGGUGAGGUAACGGCCCACCAAGGCUUCGACGGGUAGCUGGUCUGAGAGGACGAUCAGCCGGAUUGGGACUGAGAUACGGCCCAGACUCCUACGGGGGGCAGCAAUUAGGAAUCUUGCACAAUGGGCGAAAGCCUGAUGCAGCGACGUCGCGUGAAGGAUGAAAUCUUUCGGGAUGUAAACUUCUUUUACCAGGGAAGAAUAAAUGACGGUACCUGGUGAAUAAGCCCGGCUAACUACGUGCCAGCAGCCGCGGU